rnacentral:rRNA from 1 species
UACGUAGGGGGCAAGCGUUGUCCGGAAUCAUUGGGCGUAAAGCGGCGCGUAGGCGGCCCGGUAAGUCCGCUGUAAAAGUCCAGGGCUCAACCCUGGAAAGCCGGUGGAUACUGUCGGGCUAGAGUCCGGAAGAGGCUGAGUGGAAUUCCUGGGUGUAGCGGGUGGAAUGGCGGCAGGAGUAUCAAGGAGGAACACCGAUGGCGAAGGCAGCUCGCGGGACGGUGACUGACGCCUGGAGGCGCGAAGCGUGGGGAGCGAACAGGAUAG